AUCCUGGCUCAGAUUGAACGCUGGCGGCAGGCCUAACACAUGCAAGUCGAGCGGAUGAAAGGGGCUUGCUCCUGGAUUCAGCGGCGGACGGGUGAGUAAUACGCAGGAAUCUACCUAGUAGUGGGGGAUAACGUUUCGAAAGGGGCGCUAAUACCGCAUACGUUCUGAGGAAGAAAGCAGGGGAUCGCAAGACCUUGCGCUAUUAGAUGAGCUUGCGUCCGAUUAGCUAGUUGGUAGGGUAACGGCCUACCAAGGCGACGAUCAAUAGCUGGCGUGAGAGCGCGACCAGCCACACUGGAACUGAGACACGGUCCAGACUCCUACGGGAGGCAGCAGUAGGGAAUAUUGGACAAUGGAGGAAACUCUGAUCCAGCCAUGCCGCGUGAUAGAUGAAGGCCCUCUGGGUUGUAAAUAUCUUUUAUCUGGGAAGAAACAAUCUUAUUCUUAAGAUCUUGACGGUACCAGAGGAAUAAGCACCGGCUAACUCCGUG
rnacentral:rRNA from 1 species